rnacentral:rRNA from 1 species
CACACUAUCAUUAACUGAAUCCAUAGGUUAAUGAGGCGAACCGGGGGAACUGAAACAUCUAAGUACCCCGAGGAAAAGAAAUCAACCGAGAUUCCCCCAGUAGCGGCGAGCGAACGGGGAGCAGCCCAGAGCCUGAAUCAGUGUGUGUGUUAGUGGAAGCGUCUGGAAAGGCGCGCGAUACAGGGUGACAGCCCCGUACACAAAAAUGCACAUGCUGUGAGCUCGAU